GUUGGCUUUUGAGCGCAGUCACCGGUGCCCAAGCUUUCUGAUUAAAUUUCUAUAUUUCCUACCGAGACAGAAGGAAGAACAUGGCUAUGAGCUUGGAGUCUGGAUAGGAAUUUUGGACGCGAGCAUCUUUGACACGUGGCUACUGGGGCUUGUUAUGAUUGGACAAGAGAAGGCUUAACGGAACCCUGACCUUCUAGGUCCUCCAGGACUGGGGCUUGUUAAGAUCGGAGAAGAGAAGGCCUAGCUAAACCCUAACCUUUUAGGUCCCUCCGGUUCUUAGAGUACUGGAAAAUUAUUUGAUAAGCUGGUGUUUUUAAUUGUUCUGAGUCAUUAGUUUGCAGAGCCAUCUUUGUUUAAUGAGAAAUCCCCGUGGAUUACAUGGAUCUGAAAUGCACCUAGGCAAGCAAAAGUACGGCAACAAAAUCCUAACUCGACUCCAUGGAUCAGGUUGUAAUUUUUAGGGCAACAUAAUGUCUGUGUUUUUUUGCAGGCAUAGCAAAGAUAAUUGACCUCAAUGGACUUUGGGGAAUUAAUGGUAAUUAGCUGUGGAUUAAUGGGAAAUUAAACAGUUUCCUCUGGUUAAGUAUACAGAGCAUGUUCUGCAAAUCAAAAACUCGGUGCCUUCAUAUUUCGUAUCUGCUAAAGAUCAGAACCUGUCCAGCAUCAUAAAACAUUCAGCACCAAGUGAAACAAACAGGUUGGAAGUAGAAAAAGAAAUCCUAACAUGAUUUUCUUAGGGUAAAAUCAUUGGAAAUGUGAAAAAAUCUCAAACUUGACUUCAUGCAAAGGUACAUUCUCCACAUGGAGACUUGAAAACUACAGAGAUCUAUGCUUCUGCAUGCUUUAACAGAGAGGAAAGGUAUUUGUGUGUUCUCAUCCCGCUAUAUACAACAACAGUGUCAAAAUGUUGAAGAAGGUAAGUGAUGUGCUUGAUCAAAAGAAACUGCAAGAGGUUUAUGUUCAACACUAUGAGUGUAAUGAAAAAUUAUUUCUGAAGCUCUAUCUCAGAAUGUGGAAAGGUUCCACUGUACUCAAAGAAGGCCUUUUUGUUAUAAUCGUGGUGAAAACUCCCUUUUGUUGUCUCACUGUAAGUUUUUGAGGUGGAUACAAUUUCAGCAUUGCCAUUGAAACCAGCCAGCUGCUGGAUGUUCUCAAGCUCUUUAACCACCUCAUUCAUUGUAGGCCUGUUGGCUGCCAAUUCUUCGACACACCUAAUCGCCAGAUCAAUAAACUUCUCUAAGCCUUUCAGUGGUUUGCCCGGAUCAAGAGCGGGAUCAAGGAUGGCAUCUAGGUUGCUUGAAUCUUUUGUCCUCUGGUUACCCAUAGCUGUUUUCACCUCCCUCACAACAUAGCUCCCGUGUUCUAUUGGUUUUCGACCAGUAACUAACUCCAGCAUUACCACUCCGAAGCUAUAAACAUCACUUUUCUCAGUCAACUGUCCGGACAUGAAAUAUUCAGGAUCCAAGUAGCCCUGCAGAAAAUCCAAUCUCAGGCACAUUUUAUAGUAGUGUUACGAAAUUCAUUAAACUUUAGCCUUUAGUCUUUAUAGCUUGUUUAAAUUCAUUUAAUCUUUAGCUUCUUUAAAGGGAAAGUCAGGAUAUUUUCUGCAAGGGUCUGCCUGAAUAGUGGAACGGUGGAGGUGAUUGAAAAUAAGCUUGUCCAUGCAUGUCUAGCCUUGCCUGCAGGCUAGGCCUAGAAGUACAUACAAAAUUAGGGAAAAUGAUAGGUGCCUUGCACCAUUUCUUA